UAAACCUCUGAAACUAUAAGCCAGCCCCAAUUAAUGUUCUCCUUUAUAAGAGUUGCCAUGGUCAUGAUGUCUCUUUAUAGCAAACCCUAACAAAGAUAGGUAGGUAUCAAGGCAGAGGAGGGAGACCUGGGAGGAAUUGAGGAGAGGGAAGAAUAUAAUAAAAUAUAUCAAAUUCUCAAAAAAAGAAAUAAAGAAAGAAAAGAAAAACAAAGAAUUCCUGAGGGAACAGAAUGUAUUUCAUUGCUACAGCCACCUGCAAGUUUGUAUAGAGGCCUCAAAAAACAAACAAACAAACAAAUAAAUAAAUAUUAAAAAUCCUGCUUUUAUACCAAGAAACACAUUUUGAACCUCAACUUUUCUGGGCUGACAGGCAAGAGUAAACAGGUGCCAACUGCGUUAACUAACCUUCAUUGGCUAGACCCUGGCAUAUGCCACACUUACUCUGUAGCCAGCAUUGAUGGGGGAAAUGACUACAAGUUCUUUUGCAUAUGUGUUUUGUGUCACCUCAGUGGGAUGGCUUACACCACCAUAUAGCUUAAUGGCUGUGAAAUACUGGAAAUGAAAAGGCAGAGCGUAAGAGAAAAUACAAAUAAAAACAGCAGCAGUGGUCAAAGGUAGAGGUAAUUUGUGUUGUGAGCAAUGGAGAAAAGGCACCCCCAGAAAAGACAGACUAGGAAUCUGACUCCAGUCAUGGUCUGUAUAAGCCCAGUAGGCUACUGAAGACCUCAAGAGCCCAUGGAAUUACCAAAGUCCAAGGCAUGGCUAAUUUACCUUAUAAGUCAGAAUACUGGGCUAAACUUAAGAAUAAGAACACAUGUGCCUAACCUUUUUAAAGCUUCCUUUGGUUGUCUGAGCAGAGAAUCCAAUGUAGGUAGAUUUUAUUUUUCAUUCACUGAACAGGCACCUAACAACCACAGACUCACCCCUGCCCCACCCAAAAUUCAAUCCCAUUCCUAAUUAGGCUUUUCUAGAAGGAGCCGCAGAAGAGUCAGAAGAAAGUCAUGACCCAUGUCUGAGACUCAGCCACUGGAAAGGGCAGGAGGUGCGGGACAAGUCCUGGCAAAUUUGCCACAUGCCAGGAACUGAGGCCUGACUGAGCCUGUGCGAGCUCAGAAACUGUCACCUGGAGUUCAAUGCUGGGAAACAGACCAGGAAGAUCCUUUCAGAAUAUCCAUCCCUGGUCUGUGUCAUAGCAGCAAGGGCCAAAGUGCACAGGAGAAACCCCAGUGUUUACAGCGCAGAACACUGGGUAGGUAGCUCAGAGCCCUGGUAAGCGAUGCCCUCUCCCAUCCUUCCCUUCCCUGCUUUCCAGCUUCCUGCUCCCUCCCCCACUUAGUGGCCCACAGUCUGUUCCAGAGGGGACACAGGGAAGAUGUGACCUCAUUCUGGAUCAGAGAAAGCAGAAGAAUACAAGCUGAUAGGGUCACUACUAAGAUGCUAAGGUCGUCAACUUAUAAACCCGUUCCUAAAACUAUGGGUAGUUGAAUGUUUUCCUCAGAAUUACCUCAUCGUUGACUGUGGUGUAUAAAACUUCAUUGCCAGCACUACCGAAGACACAGGCCUGACGAAUCAACUGCAGCUCUUCCUCAGAACAAAGAGAAAAGAUUGGCCACUUCCCCACAUCCAACAUCUUCAGUGAUGACAGGGUAGCCUGGACUGGCUGAAAGGAACAAGAAUUAUGUACUGAGACCACCAAUUAAACAAACAAACAAAAACAUUCUUGGACUCUUAUUUCUGCAGAGUAGAGUUAAACUGGCUUGAGGAGGAAUAACCCACAUCUGGUGGCGUCCAUCGCUGAGAGCCGCUCACCUGCUGCACAACUGCUCAUAGCUCGCUCUCCCACACUGCUCCCAGACCGGGUGCUGGUGGCCUGGGCAAAAGCAGAUCUCAGAGACACCCAGCUCAUCCAAGUCUGGACCUUGGCUGGCUCAAUGAUAGCAACACAUUAAACGUAGCUGUAGAAACAGGCUGGCUAAGCAAGCACAGGCUGGAGGAAGGAGGGUGACUGCUACAUUUGCUGUUCCUAGGCAUGGUUACUCUAGCAAACAGAUGUAGGUCUCUGGGGGUGGGGAAGAUGGGAGAGUGGCCAACAGUCUAACUCAUGCAUUCUGGCUAACAGUAUAAUUCUCAUGUCUUCUAGGUUGUCCCUCGGGGAGACCUGACCUUCCCUUCAUUCAAGGGGUUCUGGUCUGUAAACUGGCUCAAGUCUGAAAACUGACUGAUGGGCCAUGAAUCCCCAUUACUACAAUCAAAUGCAGCAUUCUUCCCUUUGUUCUAGAGUCUUGUGCAUGUACAGAUUAAGUGAAAGCCCAUGUUAAUCCAUCUCAUCCCAGGAAACGCCAUUACUGAUUUGUCCGUCUCAAAGGUCCAAGGCGAGUUGUGCCAUCGCGACAUUCACUUUCCCUAUGCUGCCGUCAUGGGCCAGGCCACUGUGAACAUGGCUUUGCCUAGGGUGCCCAUUCGGAUGAUAAGCAUGCUCAUCUUGCCUUUGGUGACUCUUUGCUUUGCUACCUCCUGGCCCCUGCUGCUCUGGGUACCAAUUAGUCCAUCACAUUUAAUUCAUCCAAAUGAGCAGCAGCAUCUCCCACUCUAAGGGAAGGGUGACAACACAGCCUUUGAACAUCCCUCUCACCAUUGUGCAUCUUAUAGUAUUAGUGAAGGGCACGACUUCUGGGCAUGCACACUGUGGAGGACUAGGCCUUAAGCAACGAAUUUAGGUCCAUUCUCAGUAGACUUUUCCCCAAAUAGUUCAACUAACCAAUCAAAUAGUCUCUUGGUAGCCACCCCCCUUUUUUUUAUACCUGUGCAAGGUUCAUAGUGACAAACUCAGAUUGACUCAAUUUCGUGUCCUCCUACCAUUAUCCCACGCUAAGCCCAUUACCACACACUCUCCAGACUUCUGCACGAAUAAAUUAGCAAUCCAUUAGGUUCUCCUGGUGCAGUGCACCUCCUCAUGGGCCACACAUUCUGCUUCCUAAACACUCACUGGGAGGUGACAGCUAGUAGUUACUCAGUCCCCAAGGUGUGGACUCCGUAGUCCCAGACACUGGGAGCACUAAAAGUUCCUGGAGAACCAGUGGUCCCCAGCCCACGAGGGAAGCUUGGAAACGCAGGCUCUACUCUCAGGGAAGGAACCAGCAG